rnacentral:rRNA from 1 species
UUGAACGCUGGCGGCAGGCCUAACACAUGCAAGUCGAGCGGUAGAGAGAAGCUUGCUUCUCUUGAGAGCGGCGGACGGGUGAGUAAUGCCUAGGAAUCUGCCUGGUAGUGGGGGAUAACGUUCGGAAACGGACGCUAAUACCGCAUACGUCCUACGGGAGAAAGCAGGGGACCUUCGGGCCUUGCGCUAUCAGAUGAGCCUAGGUCGGAUUAGCUAGUUGGUGAGGUAAUGGCUCACCAAGGCGACGAUCCGUAACUGGUCUGAGAGGAUGAUCAGUCACACUGGAACUGAGACACGGUCCAGACUCCUACGGGAGGCAGCAGUGGGGAAUAUUGGACAAUGGGCGAAAGCCUGAUCCAGCCAUGCCGCGUGUGUGAAGAAGGUCUUCGGAUUGUAAAGCACUUUAAGUUGGGAGGAAGGGCAGUUACCUAAUACGUGAUUGUUUUGACGUUACCGACAGAAUAAGCACCGGCUAACUCUGUGCCAGCAGCCGCGGUAAUACAGAGGGUGCAAGCGUUAAUCGGAAUUACUGGGCGUAAAGCGCGCGUAGGUGGUUAGUUAAGUUGGAUGUGAAAUCCCCGGGCUCAACCUGGGAACUGCAUUCAAAACUGACUGACUAGAGUAUGGUAGAGGGUGGUGGAAUUUCCUGUGUAGCGGUGAAAUGCGUAGAUAUAGGAAGGAACACCAGUGGCGAAGGCGACCACCUGGACU